rnacentral:rRNA from 1 species
UACGGGGGGGGCAAGCGUUGUUCGGAAUUACUGGGCGUAAAGGGUGCGUAGGCGGUCGGGUAAGUCUGAUGUGAAAUCUCACGGCUUAACUGUGAAACUGCAUUGGAUACUAUUCGGCUUGAGAGUUGGAGGGGGGACUGGAAUUCUUGGUGUAGCAGUGAAAUGCGUAGAUAUCAAGAGGAACACCAGUGGCGAAGGCGAGUCCCUGGACAACUUCUGACGCUGAGGCACGAAAGCUAGGGGAGCAAACAGG